rnacentral:rRNA from 1 species
AACGAACGCUGGCGGCAGGCCCAACACAUGCAAGUCGAGCGAGGACUUCGGUCCUAGCGGCGGACGGGUGAGUAACGCGUGGGAACGUGCCCUUUGCUACGGAAUAGCCCCGGGAAACUGGGAGUAAUACCGUAUGUGCCCGAGAGGGGAAAGAUUUAUCGGCAAAGGAUCGGCCCGCGUUGGAUUAGGUAGUUGGUGGGGUAAUGGCCUACCAAGCCGACGAUCCAUAGCUGGUUUGAGAGGAUGAUCAGCCACACUGGGACUGAGACACGGCCCAGACUCCUACGGGAGGCAGCAGUGGGGAAUCUUAGACAAUGGGCGCAAGCCUGAUCUAGCCAUGCCGCGUGAGCGAUGAAGGCCUUAGGGUUGUAAAGCUCUUUCAGUGGGGAAGAUAAUGACGGUACCCACAGAAGAAGCCCCGGCUAACUCCGUGCCAGCAGCCGCCGUAAGAC